GGGCCCGCACAAGCGGUGGAGUAUGUGGUUUAAUUCGAUGCAACGCGAAGAACCUUACCAGGGUUUGACAUCCUGCGAAUCUCUUGGAAACGAGAGAGUGCCUUCGGGAGCGCAGUGACAGGUGGUGCAUGGCUGUCGUCAGCUCGUGUCGUGAGAUGUUGGGUUAAGUCCCGCAACGAGCGCAACCCACGUCUUUAGUUGCCAGCAUUCAGUUGGGCACUCUAGAAAGACCGCCGGUGAUAAACCGGAGGAAGGUGUGGAUGACGUCAAGUCAUCAUGCCCCUUACACCCUGGGCCUACACACGUACUACAAUGCUACGGACAAAGGGCAGCAAACUCGCGAGAGCUAGCAAAUCCCAUAAACCGUGGCUCAGUUCAGAUCGUAGGCUGCAACUCGCCUACGUGAAGUAGGAAUCGCUAGUAAUCG
rnacentral:rRNA from 1 species